rnacentral:rRNA from 1 species
CCUACGGGAGGCAGCAGUAAGGAAUAUUGGUCAAUGGACGCAAGUCUGAACCAGCCAUGCCGCGUGCAGGAUGAAGGCCCUCUGGGUUGUAAACUGCUUUUAUAGGGGACGAAAAAGGGACUUUCUAGUUCAACUGACGGUACCCUAGGAAUAAGCACCGGCUAACUCCGUGCCAGCAGCCGCGGUAAUACGGAGGGUGCAAGCGUUAUCCGGAUUUACUGGGUUUAAAGGGUGCGUAGGUGGGUCGGUAAGUCAGCGGUGAAAUCUUCAAGCUUAACUUGGAAACUGCCAUUGAUACUAUCGAUCUUGAAUCAUCUGGAGGUAAGCGGAAUAUGUCAUGUAGCGGUGAAAUGCUUAGAUAUGACAUAGAACACCAAUUGCGAAGGCAGCUUACUACGGAUGUAUUGACACUGAGGCACGAAAGCGUGGGGAUCAAACAGGAUUAGAUACCCUGGUAGUCCACGCCCUAAACGAUGGAUACUCGACAUACGUGAUAUACUAUGUGUGUNUGAGNGAAGACAUAAGUAUACCACCUACGGAAGUACGAGUCGCGAGAGUAGUAACGUACGAAAGAAAGUUAGUACGGACGUGAGAGUACGACCGACGGACGACGACGAGGGGAGGAGGG